GUGGCUGUGUCUUUCAGAGCUUUGUAAGCUCUGUUGAGAGCACAACCGUUGGUGUUCUGUAGCUCUGGGUGAGGAGGAGAUGGGUACAGCAGCAAGUAAAGAGAGUGCUGGAGAGCAUCACUACUUUGGAAGGUCCUUAGCUCAAUGAAUAAACAUCUCUUCUUAGCUUUCAAACAAGUUUUGGACUCAGAUAGAAGAACUGAAGCCCAGAAAAUCUCACAUGUCAUGUGAAAUGGCACAACGGUUUAGCGACAGAGUUGCUCUUUCCUACUCCUAUAAGCUGAUGAAAACUGCCCUGCUCUUCUGUUGUGUGUUUAAGUAGCAUGCAGGCGAUCAGACAAACAUUUCCCUGCGUGAAUCUCAUGUUCUUUUGAGCUCCUUCUGUACUUUCAUGAUCACUUAGUAGUUAAAAAUGACCUGAGUUCUGUGUAUCCUGCAGGUCUGUGCUUGGGAAGGAAGCUCUGAAUUACUUUGUGUCUGAUUUUUAUUUUUAUUUUUUAAUAUAGCUUUCAAUUCAUUCACUCUUACAUUCAAUAAGAACCAUAGUUAAUGUGUAUCUGAGUGCAGACUGUAGCCUCAAUUUUUCUCAUUUAUGGGUCUUUUUUGUGUAUUCAUCUAAUGAAAAGCAAAGUGUGCAGUUGCAUGUAAAUCUUCAUAAAUAAUAGUGCUUGAGGCUGCUGCCCAUGUGUGUGAAUGAAACUCUGUUUUUCUCCUGUGACAUGAAGCUUUAAGGACUUUUUGUCCUGAUCAAGAGGGAAUGCUUUAAUAAGCAUCCAUGUUAGAGGGUUUGUGCUGUGUAAGCUUGGUACAGACCAUAUGGGCAAAAAGGCACGUUGUGUGGCGACAACUGCCCUGCUUGUCAUCCCCAAUCAUACUUGCUCUAAUCCUUGUUUUAAUUUACUCUGCUUGUAUGGCACCAAUUCUGCUAGUGCGGUCCUUGGGGUCCCUUCAUUCCUGCCAUUUAUGACAAGGAAUAUGCAAAGGCACAAUUAUUCAUCCACUAAGGUGACAGAGAAGGGCUCUGCUUGGGAAUACGUUCCCAGACUUGCAACAUCAUAAUGUCAGUUGUUAAAGCACUUUGCAAUUGCCAACAAUUCUUGAGAGACUUUUUUUUUUAAUAUUCUUGAACACUCAAGUGCUAAGACUUAAACUGGUCAAAAUGAGUCCUUAUUGAUUAAGAAUUGUAAUGCUGGAAAGUUUUUCUACAUGGUGUUCUCCACACUUUGCCAUUUAUUCAAGGGGGAUAUUUUUAUUGUCUUUUCCAAUCCAGUUAAUUAUUGUCCUCUUCUCAUAUGUUUAACUGCAGACAAAGGAUAGUAUGUUGAGCCACCCUUAUUAAGUCUUACAGAUUGUAUAUUGUUUAUAUUCCGAUGUAUACCACGUUCUUGAACGGCAAGGAAAAAAAAAGUCUACAAAAAACCCUCAAGUGUAGCAUUCAGCCUCUCAAGUCCAUGAUGUAUUUCAUUUGC